rnacentral:rRNA from 1 species
UAAUAAAAAUUUGUAGCUAAAAUUUUAUUUGUUUUUCAUAAUUAAUUUGAGGAGUAUUGGCGGUAUUUAAUUAAAUUCUGAGGAACUUGUUUAUUUAAAUUGAUAAUACACAUUAAAUUUUAUCUAUAAAUUAUUUUAUGUAUUGCUGUUUAAUUUAUUAUUUAUUAUUUUUAAUAGAUUAAAUUGAUAUAAAAAUAAAGAAUUCAAGUCAAAAUGUAGAUUUUUAUAGGGUUAAAUGAGUUACUUUUAUAUUGAAAUAUGAUACUGUAAAGUUAAUUGAAAUAUUAAUGAAUAAAGGUUGGAUUAGGAAGUAAAAAAGAAAUAGUUAGUUUUUUUGAUAAUUUUUUAUUAAUAUGU